rnacentral:tRNA from 1 species
CCGACCUUAGCUCAGUUGGAAGUCAGCGCAAGACUGUAAAUGGUUGAACAUUAAUCUUGAGGUCGCCUGUUCGAACCAGGCAGGUCGGA